ACAAACAACAUGGGCUUCCCACUGAAAGCUUUAGGGCUACAGCACUGCCAAUCCCAAGCUCUGUGGCUCUGAGAGUGCAGUCAAUCUUCACUUCUUAAAGAUGGCUAUGAGGACAGACUCCCCCGUCCUAGGUUAAGCCUGGGGUCUGCUCUGGGAGCUCUGGAUAGACCAGUGACAGGAGGAUUACUACUGGAUUCCUGACCUCAAGGAAUUGUUCCAUCUCACAAAGGCACGGGCUACCUCUGAGAGAGCACCUAAAUACACGACCAGCCCAGAAUGAUAAGCUGCAGCUGAGACAGGUGCAUUUGGGUGCUGCAGAAACAUGCCCACCCCCGGGAGCUCUUCAAACUCUUCAGCCAUCUCAAAGAUGGCUGAGCAAUGUUCCUGAUACUUGGUCGAGACUCGGAAUGGCAGGAAAGACUGGAAAACUGUCUCAAGUACAGGCGGUGAGUUGUCCGACCUCCAAGGAGGCUCCAAAGCAGCCACCCUUCUUCCCACCAUCAUUGUGACCAUGCUUCCCGGCGCUCUGCACUUCCCAACUCUGUCUCCUGCCAUGUGUCUGUCCGUCCACCACGUCUGCCCUCCACGCCACCUCCUAACAGCAUAGCUUCUAGUCUUUCCUCUGUUCUUUGGGCAGCCACUGAGAUUUACAGCUCGGUUGCCCUAGGAUGUCUUAGAAAUAUCUUCACAUAUCUUUUGAGUCCAUUCUCCAAUUCCUUUAUUAAUGAGACUAACCCCAAGAGAUGGCUCCGAUUUCCUCAGUAUCAUCUGGUGUACCAGAUGGGACUCCCCAAAUUCCGGUUACAGUAUCAGAAACAUCUUGGCAGGUGUAUUUUCCUGUAUCUGCCCUGAUAUUUAUAACCUUUAAGCAAUUCUCUAUAGAACAACAAAAUGGUUGGUGGAGACUGAAUAUUUGUAUAACAUUUUAGUAAGGAAGCCAUAGGCUAGUGUCACUAAAGUUUGCGGGUGUAGUGUUUAAAAGUUCCUUUUAAGCAAAACGAUGAUCACGAAGACAUUUAUUUAGAGACAUUUUUUUUUUUCCAAAUGAGUUCUAAGAAAUAGGAAAGGCCGAAAGAAACCAGUUGUUUGAGAUGAUUUCUGGGCCACUGACAAAGGCUUUUAUUCUUUGAAGAAUAGACAGAGAAUGGUCACUUGUGUAAUCCAGAUAUAGCACCUUAUAUACAUGAAACAGAGUUAAAUAUAGAGGAUGAUGGGUUAAAAAUUAGACCGCUUCUAAAGAGCAACAAUGUACAGCACAGCUUCUUCAAGGUUAACAUACCCUUUGACAAGAAUUUAAAAUUCAUUUGAGGGAAGAAAAAACGUUCACACCAUCAACUUACACACUUUUAUCACUCCCAUCAUGGCUGUCACCUCCACAACUCUACCAAGAUCAUCGCCGCUUCAAGAACAACCAUCAUUGCCAUUACUACCACCACCAUCUCCACCAAGACCACACUGCCACUUCAAGAACAACCAUCAUUACCAUUACUACCACCACCACCAUCUCCACCAAGACCACCUCCUACCACCACUGUCAGCUACACCUUUCCUAAAACCACUCCCAUUACCAUUACUACCACCUGUGCCAUCACUACCACCACCACCACUUCCACCACUGUCACUGCCACUUCCACCAUUCUGAGUGCUCCUUGCACUGCAGAUGCCAAUGGAGACAGCAUUCCAUCAUGAGUUCACACAGGAGGAAGGAGAAAGGAGACCCCACUAUUCAACAUGGUGUCUGUUGGGGGAAGAACAGGGAAGAUGCUACAUCUUAGCAGUUGUAAGUAUACAUCCUGGGGUAGGUUUUGAGCCUCAAAGGUGAGAAGCCCCAGGAGACCUCAUGUAGAUAAGGGAAACCCAAAGCCUGGCCCUGCAUCAUCAGCAUCACCUACAAACAGAUGCUCAACGUACAGCCUCAACCUUGACUCAUCUGCCCCACCUCAGGGCCUGGGUAAUGCUACUGGAUCUCACUUGGUCCACAUACUGCACAGCUCCCACACAACAAGACAGCCAUUGGUCACCCUGAGCAGGGUAUCCUGUGAGCUACAUGGGAGAUACAGCUGGGAAGACUUGCUGAAGACAUGCUGUGGGGCUGUGAGGCUUGAUCCCAGUUUCUCCAUUGUUAAUGCUGUGAACUCUGUCCCCCAGGGCCUCCGACUCCAUUUGCAAUAGGGCCCAGGCUGGUAGAAAUUCAACAGGGUUCUGAAUGAGAGCAGUAAACUGCUCUAGCACAUCGGAAGCCCCUCACAUGCACAGUGAGCACUCAGCGCAUCGCUGCCAGCACCUGACUACAGAGCACAUUCAGGAGCACUGGGCACUUGGCCAGUGCUGAUGUGCUGCACACAGAGAUGGGAGUAAGUAUGGCGGGUAAGGGUCUGGUGUGAUGCGAGAGGACACCAGGAUGAGAACUGCUCAGUGUUUCCAUUUUCCCUCGUCUACAAACAAUUCUGAUACUUGGGACUUCAAAGGAAAUGAAGAAACCUAGGAAAAUAUUUCUUCCAUGUCAAUUUUAAAUCCCACCAACCUUCUCUCUCUAUAAUUACAGCUGUCAGUGUUGGCAUCAAGGGAAAAUGGUGUCCUUGGCUUUAAAAUGUGGCCAUUAGGGACUCAGUUAAAAAUAAAUUCUCUUCCUG
ensembl:processed_transcript 4933400F21Rik RIKEN cDNA 4933400F21 gene